rnacentral:rRNA from 1 species
UGGGGAAUAUUGGACAAUGGGCGAAAGCCUGAUCCAGCCAUGCCGCGUGUGUGAAGAAGGCCUUUUGGUUGUAAAGCACUUUAAGCGAGGAGGAGGCUACUUAGAUUAAUACUCUAGGAUAGUGGACGUUACUCGCAGAAUAAGCACCGGCUAACUCUGUGCCAGCAGCCGCGGUAAUACAGAGGGUGCGAGCGUUAAUCGGAUUUACUGGGCGUAAAGCGUGCGUAGGCGGCUUUUUAAGUCGGAUGUUAAAUACCUGAGCUUAACUUAGGAAUUGCAUUCUAUACUGGGAAGCUAGAGUAUGGGAGAGGAUGGUAGAAUUCCAGGUGUAGCGGUGAAAUGCGUAGAGAUCUGGAGGAAUACCGAUGGCGAAGGCAGCCAUCUGGCCUAAUACUGACGCUGAGGUACGAAAGCAUGGGGAGCAAACAGG